AAUAAAAUGGCUGAUUUAAGGUGCCGAAUUGUAGCUUUGGGAAUGAGAUAUUUUCUCUUUUAUUA
rnacentral:tRNA from 1 species